rnacentral:rRNA from 1 species
AUUGAACGCUGGCGGCAUGGCUAAACAUGCAAGUCGAGCGCGAAAGGGGAGCAAUCCCCGUCGUAGAGCGGCGAAAGGGUAGGGUAAUGCGUUCCUACGUGCCUCAAGGUCGAGGAUAGCCAGGGGAAACGUCUGGGUAAUACUCGAUGUGGUCGCAAGAUCAAAGGCUUGCCGCCUUGAGAGCGGGGAACGUCCUAUCAGGUAGUUGGUGAGGUAACGGCUCACC